rnacentral:tRNA from 1 species
CGAAUAAUCGAUUCGUCGGACUUUUAAUCCGUUGGUCACUGGUUCGAAUCCAGUACGUCCUACCA